GACGAACGCUGGCGGCGUGCUUAACACAUGCAAGUCGAGCGGUAAGGCCCCUUCGGGGGUACACGAGCGGCGAACGGGUGAGUAACACGUGAGCAAUCUGCCCUUCACUUUGGGAUAACUCUGGGAAACGAGAGCUAAUACCGAAUACGACCACUUCAGGCAUCUGAUGGUGGUGGAAAGUUCCGGCGGUGAAGGAUGAGCUCGCGGCCUAUCAGCUAGUUGGUGGAGUAACGGGCCCACCAAGGCUUCGACGGGUAGCCGGCCUGAGAGGGUGACCGGCCACACUGGGACUGAGACACGGCCCAGACUCCUACGGGAGGCAGCAGUGGGGAAUAUUGGACAAUGGGCGAAAGCCUGAUCCAGCAACGCCGCGUGAGGGAUGACGGCCUUC
rnacentral:rRNA from 1 species